CGCGUAGGCGGCUCCAAAAGUCAGGGGUGAAAUCCGGCAGCUUAACUGUCGCAGUGCCUUUGAUACUGUGGAGCUAGAGGGAGGUAGGGGUCUGUGGAACUUCCGGUGGAGCGGUGAAAUGCGUUGAUAUCGGAAGGAACGCCGGUGGCGAAAGCGACGGACUGGAUCUCUUCUGACGCUGAGGCGCGAAAGCCAGGGGAGCAAACGG
rnacentral:rRNA from 1 species